rnacentral:rRNA from 1 species
UGAGGAAUAUUGCACAAUGGGGGCAACCCUGAUGCAGCGACGCCGCGUGGGUGAUGAAGGUUUUCGGAUCGUAAAGCCCUUUUCUGCAUGACGAGCACAGGACGGUAGUGCAGGAAUAAGUGUCGGCUAACUACGUGCCAGCAGCCGCGGUAAAACGUAGGACACAAGCGUUAUCCGGAAUUACUGGGCGUAAAGGGCGUGCAGGCGGUUGCGUAAGUUAGGCGUGAAAGACUUCGGCUAAACCGGGGGAGGUCGUCUGAUACUGCGCAACUAGAGUAUGGUAGAGGCGUGUAGAAUUCCGGGUGUAGUGGUGAAAUGCGUAGAGAUCCGGAGGAAUACCAGUGGCGAAGGCGGCACGCUGGGCCAUAACUGACGCUAAGACGCGAAAGCAUGGGUAGCGAACGGGAUUAGAUACCCUGGUAGUCCCUGAGCGGGCUGGCAAGGCGCAU